CCUACGGGAUGCAGCAGUGAGGAAUAUUGGUCAAUGGGCUUACGCCUGAACCAGCCAAGUCGCGUGAGGGAAGACUGCCCUAUGGGUUGUAAACCUAUUUUGUAAGGGAGCAAUUGGCGCUACGUGUAGCGUUAUCGAGAGUACCUGAAGAAAAAGCAUCGGCUAACUCCGUGCCAGCAGCCGCGGUAAUACGGAGUAUGCGAGCGUUAUCCGGAUUUAUUGGGUUUAAAGGGUGCGUGGUAGGAAUGCCAAGUCAGCGGUAAAAUCCCGGGGCUCAACCUCGCUCCGCCGUUGAAACUGGCGUUUUUGAGUGGGCGAGAAGUGUGCGGAAUGCGUGGUGUAGCGGUGAAAUGCAUAGAUAUCACGCAGAACUCCGAUUGCGAAGGCAGCAUACCGGCGCCCAACUGACGCUGAAGCACGAAAGCGUGGGUAUCGAACAGGAUUAGAUACCCCAGUAGUC
rnacentral:rRNA from 1 species